rnacentral:misc_RNA from 1 species
AUUUUUUGUUGUGUGAUGGGGGGCUUGGCUCUCUUCAAAAACCAUUGGAUUUUAUAAUAUUUGGUGGCAGAUUUAGACUGUUGUGGUGGUGAGGUUACCUAAUUAAUGCAUGCACAAAUUUACCAUUGUAUCUUUUAGCAACUAUUUUCAUUGUUAUUUCUCUGUUCCAGAAUAUUAUCUAUAGAAAAGAUAGGGAUGUAGCAGGCAUUAGAUUCUUCAUUCACAUGAUUUUGUUGAUUGAAUUUAUUCUUUUUUAUACAUAUUAUCAUCUGGAGAACUUGAGAUACAGAGUACUAUUUUAAAUCUUAAAUGAGAGCUUCACAUGUUACUCUUUCUUCUUUGCCUAUUUUGUUAGGGUAAGUGGGCUUUCUGUUCCUCUUUACCAAAAGAUCUAUUUGUUGGGGUAAAAGAUAAAUUGGGAUUGGAUUAUUGCAAGAGGAGAUUGUCAGAUGUGAUAGAA